rnacentral:piRNA from 1 species
UGGCACUUCUCGUGUGAGCCUACAUGGCUAC